CCUCUGAGAGGAGUAGAGAUCUUGGAAUUCGUCGKGCUGGGGAUAGAGCAUUGCAAUUAUUGCUCUUCAACGAGGAAUUCCUAGUAAGCGUGAGUCAUCASCUCGCGUUGAUUACGUCCCUGCCCUUUGUACACACCGCCCGUCGCUACUACCGAUUGAAUGGCUUAGUGAGCCUUUGGGAUCGGCAGCUUGUACCGGCAACGGUAGCAGGCCGCUGAAAACUUAGGCAAACUUGGUCAUUUAGAGGAAGUAAAAGA
rnacentral:rRNA from 1 species